rnacentral:rRNA from 1 species
CUACGGGCUGCUGCAGUGGGGAAUAUUGGACAAUGGGCGCAAGCCUGAUCCAGCAAUGCCGCGUGAGUGAAGACGGCCUUAGGGUUGUAAAACUCUUUCGCUAGGGAAGAUAAUGACUGUACCUAGUAAAGAAGUCCCGGCUAACUCCGUGCCAGCAGCCGCGGUAAUACGGAGGGGACUAGCGUUGUUCGGAAUUACUGGGCGUAAAGAGUUAGUAGGCGGACUGACAAGUUAGAGGUGAAAUCCCAGGGCUCAACCCUGGAACUGCCUUUAAAACUGUCAGUCUAGAGACCGGAAGAGGUUAGGGGAAUACCUAGUGUAGAGGUGAAAUUCGUAGAUAUUAGGUGGAACACCAGUGGCGAAGGCGCCUAACUGGUCCGGUACUGACGCUGAGGAACGAAAGCGUGGGGAGCAAACAGGAUUAGAUACCCGAGUAGUC